GUGAGGAAUUUUCCGCAAUGGGCGAAAGCCUGACGGAGCAAUGCCGCGUGAAGGAUGAAGGCCUAUGGGUUGUAAACUUCUUUUCUCAGAAAAGAAUUAUGACGGUAUCUGAGGAAUAAGCAUCGGCUAACUCUGUGCCAGCAGCCGCGGUAAGACAGAGGAUGCAAGCGUUAUCCGGAAUGAUUGGGCGUAAAGCGUCUGUAGGUUGUUUAAAAAGUAUUCUGGCAAAGAUUAGGGCUUAACCCUAGAUAGGCAGAAUAAACUUUUAAGCUAGAGUUUGGUAGAGGCAGAGGGAAUUCCCGGUGGAGCGGUGAAAUGCGUAGAUAUCGGGAGGAACACCAAAGGCGAAGGCACUCUGCUGGGCCAAUACUAACACUGAGAGACGAAAGCGAGGGGAGCAAAUGGGAUUAGAAACCCUGGUAGUCC
rnacentral:rRNA from 1 species